rnacentral:tRNA from 1 species
AUGGUUGCUUCCGUAACUGAGAAAUUUCUUCGGCUAGGUCGGAACGAACUGGCUCGAUGACCUUG